UAAGCGGGAGCGAGACCAAUCACAACCCCAGCCGCCUCAUGCCACCGUUCGCCAGCAGUAGUUGAUUCGCCUGCCCUUUUAAUUAGAUCGUGUUAGGUCGUUUGCGGUGAUGCAAACAGAUGCUUACUGUGAAAUUGUUGGUUAAUAUACUGUUGAUCGACCAUUAUCGAUGUAUGCAAUUCUGAGGUACUGUGAGGUUGAUGCCUCCUGUUCUCUGAAUCCUCAUGUGAUUUUCGUUCACUGAAUCCUCUUGUGAUUCCUGUUCACUGAAUCCUCUUGUGAUUCCUGUUCUCUGAAUCCUCUUGUGAUUUCUUGUUCUCUGAAUCCUCUUGUGAUUUUCUCUGUGACGGUAGACGUCCUGUGGCUUUGGUGCCGUAUGGCCUACCGAUUGUCGUCGGCCUCUGUAGGGAAUUUGGAUUUGGCCCAACUCAUGAUCCUGAUCUGUAACAGGACUAAGAUGAGCGAUAGCUGUAGAACUCGGCACCAUCCUGUUUCUUAACUGGAUGGUCAAAAAGAUCAUUGGAUUAUUUGGUUCGUUAGUGCAAAAUGUACUCAAUCGACAUCAGUUCGAGUAAUUUUGAAAUGUUGCCUUCCUUUGAUCCUUUUUGUCAUUUCGGCUGCUUGGUCGUACAAUCUGUGAUGGGUCUUGAAAUAAAUCGAGGGAAAUCUUGAAACCCUGCCCUGUUUCCCGGGCCAGCAUGAACCAGCUGUCCAGUCAAAAUUCUGAAGUAGUAAGCACAUAGUGUGUUCGUGUUAUGCCAAAGCAACAUGAACGAGCUGUCCAGUCAAAAUUCUGAAGUACGUAGUAAGCACAUAGUGUGUUCGUGUUAUGCCAAAGCAACACUGAAUUUCAGUCUGCCUGAAUUAGCUGAAUUUGGCUCAGAGAAGUGUGACUUCAUAUGCUAAACUGAGAUUUCCACCAUACUUUUUAUCGCAGGUGCUUGCCAGCCGGAUAUUCUGUCAAAAUAAUUUACUAUUAUAUCUCUGUAUAGUUUAUUGUUAGUAGAUUAGCUACUGUACUGACCAGGCUUAUCUGAAUAUAUUCUUAUUAUUACUUAACGGUGGGGUUUAAGAAACCAACCCUUGCAAGCUUCCCUGCUACUGCUCGUCAUGAUCAAAGCACAACAGAUGUUCUGUAUGUCAUCCAUGUCGUUUCAGAACCUUCAGAAUUUGUAAAUCUUCUCAUAGGGAUGUUCUAAUCUUCUCAUAUGGAUGUUCCAAUCUUCUCAUAGGAAUUACUAUUUAGUGAUGUUAAUUCAGAACUAACGUGUUGUGUUUCGACUAGCAAUGCUUGUACUUUUCCAAGUGAGCUGCUUCAUCCAGUAUGAACACAUGACACUGUCCUUAGAUAGUUUAGAUGGUUAAUCUACUGUGUUGUUUCAGUGAGUAUUAUGUUUAUAAAUCUGCGAUUGAUUGAGACACCAACUCAUUGUAGUUUUUUUGGAAAUAGAGGCAUACCCCCGGCCUCUGCAUCAUGAUGAUGCAUCAUGAUGAACUCAUUGUAGGUGCACCUGAGAUAAUGAUAUUAAAUCAUCAUUGCAUCUCUCUCUACUCUCUCGCAAAAGAAAAUUGCAUCUCUCUACAGAUGUUGUCCUUGAGAUCUCUAGUUUUUCUGAAGCAACAAUUUGUUACACUAGGUAUCAAGGAAAUUUCUCUUUGACCACAUUAUAACUUUCUGUAAUAUACUUGUAUCAUUUUUUUAGGGAGUAACAUACUUCUAUCUAGAGAAUGCAUUAGAAUCAUUGAAUCAACAUUCCGGAAGAUAGAGACCAUCGACUUAAAUAUGUAUUGCAUUUUGCUCAAUUCCAAACCUUGGAAAUAGAAUUAAAAUGAACAUGUUCAGACCAAAACAGCAUGCCAAAGGAGAUUGUAUUUUCACAUUAAUUCAAUGCAGUUAAAUAUGAAAACAACAGAUAUAAACUUAACUGCAGUUAAAUCUGAAAACAACAAUGGCAUGGAGCGAAACUCCAAACAUGUAGUGCCAGCUUUCAAAGAUUCAUUUCAAUAUGGGGAGAAACAACAAGGUGUACACAGUGGCCUCCAAGAAGGUUGCAAAAUGCAAGGAACGUGUAGACUGAUCUGGACCAAAGAUUUGGAAUCCAAUGGCACGAAUUUCGUUUCCAUAUUUCCACUGAAAUUAAGAGGUUGUUUGCUUGCCAGCCGCAGCUUGCCACGCCAAAGGUGUGGCGUGCCACAACUCCCUAGGCUUGCGUUUGGUUUGAUACAACUGUUUGGCUCGCCACAGCGCAUAGGGGCAUCUGCAGUAGAAAUUUUUGCCAAAUGUGCGGCGUUGGUUUUGUCUGCCACACUUUCUGCGGCAUGCCACAGGUGUGGCGAACACCUCAACUUUGGCAUGGCAAACUGAGCCUCCAACCAAACAGGCCCUGAGUUUCCAUUGGAUGGUCGUUGGUUUCAGGGUGCGCUAUGCCGGCCACUCACGGUGUGUUUUUAGUGGGAGGUGAAGUGGUAUGCUGGUUAUCGGACUGUGUGGGCCUUACUCUCGUGCAAUGACAAGUGAAUAAACACUCAUCGUGAGAAUAACACAUCUAGCAUGAAAAAUUUCGGCCAUCCCUCACCGCCUCACAAGCGGUAUGAGCACACAAAAAAGAAAUUUAUUUUGAAAAUUAGAGAUGGCACAUACAAAUUUGCUUAGAACGGCAAAAGAAUACCGCAUAUAGGUAGAUAUGGUGGACUCAUAUGGCAAAACUGGUUUAAAGGGUUUUGGAUGCACGAGUAGUGAUCAUACUUAAUGCAAAAUGAAGGCUAGCAAAAGAUUGAGAAACGACCAACCAAGAAACGAAAAAUCUCAUAAGCGAGCAUUAAGCAUAAUUAACACCAAAUAAUGCACCACAAGUAGGAUAUAAUCUUAUUGCAUAACUAUUGACUUUCGUGCUUGCAUAGGGAAUCACAAACCUUAACACCAAUAUCUUUCCCUAAUAAUAAAGUACGGAUUGACUUUGUCAGGUUCACCGUCACAAUAUGCUUUCUUCUCAUGUCAUAAUACGCUUUUAUGAUUUGUAUAGACAAAAUCGUAAUAUAAACGAGGUGGUACUAGGGUCCGCACGUCCUUGUGGAAGUUGGGAUUGGGUCCGGUCGUCCGUCCAGGAGAAUAGCGAUUCGAUCGUUUGGGCAAACAGGACUGUCUUCGGCCUCAAAGGAAAGACGCACGGUAUGGAAAAAACAAACAAGAGAGAUCGGGCAUGACUCCUCCUGAGAGCCACGAUGGAUCUCGCCUCCACCAAGUUACAUAUUACGAGCAAACAAAAUCAUCGUCACAAAUCCGAUUCCUUCCUCCUCCGCACGCACGAAGCCACCGCCGCUGCUUCUCACCUCGCCGCUAGAUCGGAAUCUUUGUCGUUGCUCAAAUCAAGAGAGAGAGAGAGAGAGAGAUCGGAUCGAGAUCGAGAUGCCACGAGGAGCGCUGCCGGAGAUGCCAGGCCGUUGCCUUAGGCGGACAAGCCGCCGGCAAGGAAUCCACGUCGGGUGGCCCGGGCGCCGUCACCUCACCUUCCACAGGCCCUCUCGACCCUCGGCUAGACGCCACGGCCGGGUCGCCGCCCCCUCCCACCGCGAGGAAGACGACGGCAGAGCAAGGCGGCGGCGCUGGGCUAUACGUCGAGCCUCCCUCAGUGGCCUCCGUCCUCCAUACCGAUGCUCCGUCCCCCGUUUCAAUCGGCUCUACUGCAACUUCGCCUGACGACCGGUGCUCUGCCUUGACCUGCUCUGCUUCGGUCCAGAUCGAUACGGCCCUGAGCUCCACUCCAUGGCCCUCUUCUGCCAAACCCUGUACAAUCUCCUCAAACCAACUUGCUUGUCAACGAGCCUACCACCGCUAGCUAUUCGCAUGGUCUCUCUCUUCUGAAGAUACGAGUUAACUUUUUGAAGCUAUGCAUACGACAUCAAGUAUUACUUAGGGUUAUGAGGUAACUUCCUGCACCUAUGCAUACAACACUAUGUAUUACUUUUCUUUGCAUGAGUUAACUUUCUGAACCAAUGCUUCCUGUCCUCAUUGGCGAGAUUUAGGAUAGACCUGUAGGGCUGCGCAACCCUUUGCUUGGCUGCGUUUGUGUGUCUCACUCACCCGGUUGUCGUGUUAGUGCUUGCGAGCUCACGUCUGCAAUUGCUACAAUCUAUUCCUUCUAUCAAUGCAAUGAUACGCAAGUCUUUUGCGUAUUCGCAAAAAAAACUUUCUGAACCAAUGCUUACGGCAUCCGGGAUUCGUCAGGCUGAUGUCCUGCUUCGGAGUGUAAGCAGCAACAGUAACAAAUGGUUUUUCUGAAUCAAAAUCAAUCAAGAUUAAACUUUGUGCUGACAGUAAUCAAUGAAGAAAUAUGGUAUUUGUGAGAGUGCAGAAGAGAGAACCUUCCCAGGGUUUAAGUAAACAGUGGUGGCUCAGGGAUCUCACCUCCCGGGACAAGCUGCAAACGAAACGGGGCAGAGCGUCAGAAAAGAAGACUUGUGGCAGAGCAUUUCAGCAAGAAAGUGAAUAGCAAAAAGUAAAAAACAUCACAGAAGAGUGGAUUGUCUGUUGUAAAAUAAUUAUGCCCAGAGAUUGUUUUCAUGUUUUGGUGAAGCUUUACUAUUCAGUGUUUACACUUGAACAACAUCAACAUGCAUGUCGAAGUGAGAACUAGAAUUGUGAGGCUCAGGCAUAAGAAAGCAUUCAUCACAGGCAAGCGCACCUUGUUGAUAAGAUUAUCCUGCUUGAGGAUGUAGUGCAAGACCCAGCCUACCACCGGCAUCUCGACGACCCACACGAAGAUCUUCACCAGAAGGGCGGCGACCCGAGGAGUUGCUCAACAGAAUUCAGAAUUCAUAAUUCAGCAGCAAGAACAGAACAUGAUUAAUCNNNNNNNNNNNNNNNNNNNNNNNNNNNNNNNNNNNNNNNNNNNNNNNNNNNNNNNNNNNNNNNNNNNNNNNNNNNNNNNNNNNNNNNNNNNNNNNNNNNNNNNNNNNNNNNNNNNNNNNNNNNNNNNNNNNNNNNNNNNNNNNNNNNNNNNNNNNNNNNNNNNNNNNNNNNNNNNNNNNNNNNNNNNNNNNNNNNNNNNNNNNNNNNNNNNNNNNNNNNNNNNNNNNNNNNNNNNNNNNNNNNNNNNNNNNNNNNNNNNNNNNNNNNNNNNNNNNNNNNNNNNNNNNNNNNNNNNNNNNNNNNNNNNNNNNNNNNNNNNNNNNNNNNNNNNNNNNNNNNNNNNNNNNNNNNNNNNNNNNNNNNNNNNNNNNNNNNNNNNNNNNNNNNNNNNCGAGGUCGACCUCCGUGCCACGAAUAAGGCAUCCAUUGAUAUAUGUUCAGCAUCAUGUUCUUCUACUUAAGCCAAUGUUAUCUUUAGGCUUGCUGACUUGCCUUAUUCAUGAUCGAUGAGCUUUACUACCUAGCAUGUAACCUUCCAAGUUUGUUUACCAAUCCUCCAUCGUUUUUUAGUUGUUCUGCGUACGUCCUUCCAUGAAAGUAUGGAAACAGGCAAUGCCAGCCAUCAACAGUUGCCGCACCUGCCAACUGUAAAGAAAUUAUGUAUGAUAAGUUGGGGCAGAGGCCAGUAGGCGACGCAUAUCAGUACACCAGCGGUAGAUGGCAACGCAGUGGGCGGCAGCAUCUGGCUGUGAGGCCAAAACUAGCAGUGGCGCGAACCAGCAUGGUGGUUUACGGAGCCAAAGCGCAGCGGCAGCCAGCACGGUCGAUACGUGCAUGCGGCGGCCUAGCUAGAGCGGCUGGCGCAUGUGCAACCUGUUCGGAACGGCUAAAUGGCUAUGGUGCGACAAGUCACGUGACCAAGCAGGACUAGCCCGAGAUGACGGGGUACGUACUGGGGCCGCGGCGGAUAGCAGGAAGAUGAACGAAAACCUCUGUCAGCUCAUAUCCAACCCCCUCCUCCCUUCCGUUUUCCAUCUACCUCACGGGGGCAGGGCAGCACCGCAGCAGGGCAGUUUUGAUCUUGUUCAGCAGCCAAGCAUACGUACUACUACCUGUGUUUGCGUCGGAGCUAUGUUUUUAAGGCGGUAAGGCGAGGCGAGGCGCUGGGGGCGCCUCACUGCCUAAGCGCUAAGGCAUAAGGCAAGGCGACGCCUUAGACACAUACAUAUAUAAUAGAUGGCAGCCAAUUAGGAGAUUUAACUACUAGCAUUGACAUCAUAAACUGUACAUACAUAUAUAACAGUUGGCAGCCAUUUAGGAAAUUUAACAAUUAACAUUAACAUAAUUAGUUGUUGCCAAAUCAUAGGCCUCAAAUCAUCUUCUAUAUAUGACAGAACGACGCCUUUAAACUUCAGCUUCAUCCUUCUCAUCAAUAUAUCGCUCCAUAGCUUUAAACUUUCUAGUGUUUAAGGAUUUGCGCAUCUGUAUCCUAAUCUCCAUAGAUGCCUCGGGACACAUAUCUGCAUCACUACAACCCCCAGAAAGGUGCUGCUUCAGCCUUCUCACUCCAGCAUGGACUAUCUUGCCACACAAUGUACACUGGAGUAAAUCUUUCCUCUCUAAAUCUGGCCAGAACCCAUACUUUCAAACUGGAUCAUCUGAUGUAGCUCUUCUCCUAGGAUCCAUCAGAGCAGGGACACCUCGCUGCUGCAGCAACACUGAGAAAAGACCCAAUCAACCGUCAAAGAGAGAAGAGCCAAAUCACUAGAGCAAGCAGACAAGCAUGGGGAAGAAGAGAAGCGAUGGUGGGGUUGCUGCCUUGUGGAUGGAGAAGCAGAUUUGGGAGCAAACAGAUGCGGAGGAGGAGCAGGCCAAGCACAUCUACAGAUCUACCUACAAUGCAGGAAGAAACAGAGUAUUAGGAGGGGUAGAAGAAAAUUCAGAGGAGGCCGGGGUAGAAGUGAGAUGAGAAUGGGAGCCACACCUUGCUGCUGCGCCAGAGUUGGAGGGAGAGCUGAGCCCGGCGAGGAGGGGCACAGAUUGGAGCUGUAGAGGAAGGAGUCGCCGCCAAAGGUCAGAGAGGAGAGAAGGAAACCCUAUCGGGUGGAUUGGACGAUUGGUUCAAUCCUCUCUGUCCCGCCCUUCGCCUUAUACCUGUUCGCACUCGCGCGCGAGCCCAAUAUUUCCCGCGAAAGCCCGCGAAAGCUUCCCGCGUGGGGCCACUCUUUCCCGCCUGGAAGCAGCCCAUGGCGUCCGAUCUGGCCCAAGGCGCCGCCCUACGCGCCUAGGCGGACGAUUCAGACGCCCUAGGAUCUAAAGCGGACGCUUUACGACGAUGUAUAAGGCAGGUUCGACGCCUUGCCAUUGGAGGGUGCCCUGAGAAACAGAGCGUCGGAGACGUUAAUUAAGUGAUUCCCGUGGCUGCUGCUGAAGCUCUGGAACGUGGAGAUGAGGCGGAAGGUGGCCAUCGUACAGACUAGCCUGAUCAUACAACUUUCAAAUAAGCAAGACAGGUAUGCCAUGCUAAGCAUUACAUCACGGACCAGAUUGAUGAUACCUCUCUCCUAUGUCAUGUUUAAUAAUAGUACUUGAUUAAUCUCUGUUAUUGUAUUGUAGAGAGUUUUCAGUUCAUAAGAAGUCAUGUCAUUAUGAUUGCAGGUUUUGCUAAAGCAUAUUUAGAUGUGCUUUAAGUAUUGCACAUCUAAAUCGGUAAAUCCUAUGUCAUUGAUUUUACCUGGAGCUUCGUGCAUGUAUUUUCUUUUACUUUGCUUUUUCUUUUCAUAUCCAAUUGACUCAUUUUUUAAUGCUUUUUAAUUGAAUCAUUUAGAUAUGCAAUAACUAGGCACCAAUUAUAACGUUGACACAUGCACACGCACACAUCUACUGAAUACCGGAUCUAUACUAAAGACUGGGUCAAAGUUGCGGAGCCUUAAGAUUGACGAUGUCAUCAUGACCGACUUGCUACCUAUAGAGAAAAAAUCAAUAUUAAUAAGACAACAAAGCGUCAAUCCUACAUUUUGAUCUCUGUUAAGCACUGAAAAAAAUAGCACGCUAUAACCUCGCUAAUAGCACGCUAUAGCAUCUUGAGAAUUGUCUCGCUAAAUAUAUCGGUGUACAACGUCUCGCUAAUAGCACGCUAUAGCACAAUAUAGCACGCUAAUAGCAUAUUUUGAGGUCGGCGCUAUUUUGCUGUAGCACGCUAUUUUUUUCAUUGCUGUUAAGCUAGGGUAUCACUGCCCUCCUAAUCAUCUAAUCACUGGUGUAAUUGGUAUCUUCGCGAUAUUAAUAUGUUCCCUUUAUCGAUCUAACCACUGGAUAAUGCUCAUUAUAUUCUUACAACAACACCGGAAUGCUCCGUUACAUCACGUAUCCCUUUCGAGCGAACCACCAAAUAACCCUCGAUGCCAAAGUUUCUCUUCAAGCCACCGUCGGUCGAUCCACAGCUACUGCCAUUGAUUUUAGCAAUGCAAAGCUUCAUAGAUCUGCCGUUUGAAGCACAUUUAUUUAUUCGUGUCCCCAUUGCAACGCACGGGCACUUUUGCUAGUUCUUACUAAAGCAUAAUUACUAACCAACAUGACUCACAUAUCACAUCAUCAUAUCCCAAAACUAUUCCAAGGAAUCAAGUUCAUUUUUUCCAAUGAUCUUUAUGAAAGUUUUUAUUAUAUCCUUCUUGGAUAUCUAUCACUUUGGGACUAAUUUCCAUGUGUUGCUUUUAAUAAGCUCAAACAAAUAUAAGUGAAGAUCAUGAGCAUAAUAUUUCUUUCUCUCAAAUUAAUUUAAGUGAAGCAAGAGAGAAUUUCUUAAAAAAUUUACUAACUCUCAAAUAAAUCUAAGUGAAGCAUGAGAGCAUUUCUUCAAAAAUAAGAAAGCACACCGUGCUCAAAAAGAUAUAAGUGAAGCACUAGAGCAAUUCCAUAGCCCAUAAAGAUUUAAGUGAAGCAUAGAGAGCAAUAUUGUUAAAAAUCACAGAAGCGUGAUAAAAUACCCAUUCUUUUUGCAGAAGAUUAAUAUACAAAUUGUUCACGUGGUCCUAAUAUUUCAGAAUUUUUGGAGUUAUAGAAGUAUUCAAAAUAUUCAGAUUGCUACAGACUGUUCUGUUUUUGACAGAUUCUGUUUUCUUUGCGUUGUGUGCUUGUUUUCUCACGAUGAGUGUUUAUUCACUUGUCAUUGCACGAGAGUAAGGCAAAGGUAUUAGGAUGCCCAGUCCCAAAAUGAAAAAUGAAUUUACUUUAUGUUAUCAAAUAAUAAAUUUCUUGGAAAGUGUUGGUAUGGAGGGCACUCGUGGAUGCGGUUAGCCAUGGAAAGUGAAAGUAUGGUGGAAAAAGGAAUAAACUUUAUUUUCUGUUUGGGAACCGCCUAUGAUAUAUCUAGCAUGGAAAGUUUUGGGAACUCUAAGUCGUUUUCGUUGGUGGGAAAAGCACACCUCCCAAAAUGUUUUUAUCUCUAAGUUUUUCGCUUUGAGCUCUGGCACCUCUACAAAUCCCUACUUCCCUCCGCGAAGGGCCUUUCUUUUUAUUUUAUGCAAUUUUUAUUUUUAAUCUGAGUCUCCAUCUUCUCUUAUAAAGCACCAACUAGGAGGCACUAUGAUUGUACUUGAGCAUUGGGUGUAGCUAAUAUAUGAGUGUGUUUCAUGAAUGGAUCAAUGAUUGAGCAUGAUGGGCUAGGGAUAACUUAUUUUAGCGUUGAUAUUUCGAAAGACAUGGUUGCUUGUUGAUAUGCUUGAGUAUUAAGUUAUCAUGUCAAAACUAGACUAUUGCUUUGAAUCAUAUAAAAGUCCAAAUGUCCAUGCAAUAAAGAAAAUAAUAUGAGAUGACAUGUUAGGCAGCAUUCCACAUCAAAAAUUCUGUUUUUAUCAUUUACCUACUCGAGGACGAGCAAGAAUUAAGCUUGGGAAUAGCACUAUGUCAUCCGCGUAUAGAGAUAGCUGAUAUGUCUCCAACGUAUCUAUAAUUUUUGAUUGUUUUAUAAUGUUAUAUUAUCAUUCUUGGAUGUUUUAUAAUCAUUUUAUAUCAUUUUUGGGUACUAACCUAUUGACAUCAUAGGAAAUCAAUACCAAACGGAGUCCAAACGCAGCGAAACUUUUUGUGGAUUUUUUUGGACCAAAAGACAUCUAGUGGGCCGGAAAAGCACCUGGGGGGUGCUCCGAGGGGAGCACAACCCACCAGGGCGCGCCUGGAGGCCCAGGCGUUCCCAGGCGGGUUGUGCCCACCUCGGGUGCCCCCUGAACCACCUCUUUGCUCUAUAAAUACCCCAAUAUUCCAGAAACCCUAGGGGAGUCGACGAAAAUCAAUUCCAGCCGCCGCAAGUUCCAGAAACACCAUAUCCAAUCUAGACACCAUCACAGAGGGGUUCAUCAUGCCCAUUGGUGCCUCUCCGAUGAUGCGUGAAUAGUUCUUUGUAGACCUACGGGUCCGUAGUUAGUAGCUAGAUGGCUUCCUCUCUCUCGUUUGAUUCUCAAUACAAUGGUCUCUUGGAGAUCCAUAUGAUGUAACUCUUUUUGCGGUGCGUUUGUUGGGAUCCGAUGAACUUUGAGUUUAUGAUCAGAUCUAUCUUUUUAUUCGUGAAAGUUAUUUGAGUCUUCUUUGAUCUCUUAUAUGCAUGAUUACUUAUAUCCUUGUAUUUCUUCUCCAAUAUUUGGGUUUUUUGGCCAACUUGAUCUAUUUAUCUUGCAAUGAGAAGAGGUGCUUUGUGAUGGGUUUGAUCUUUCAGUGCUUGAUCCAAGUGAUAGAAAGGGAACCGACACGUAUGUAUCGUUGCUAUUAAGGAUAACAAGAUGGGGUCUAUUUCUACAUAAAUACAUCUUGUCUACAUCAUGUCACCGUUCUUAUUGCAUUACUCCAUUUCCCCAUGAACUUAAUACACUAGAUGCAUGCUGGAUAGCGGUCGACGUGUGAGUAAUAGUAGUAGAUGCAGGCAGGAGUCAGUCUACUAAUCUUGGACGUGAUGCCUAUAUAAUGAUCAUUGCCUGGAUAUCAUCAUGAUUAUUUGAAGUUCUAUCAAUUGCCCAAUAGUAAUUUGUUCACCCACCGUUUGCCAUUUUUCUCGAGAGAAGCCACUCGUGAAACCUACGGUCCCCGGGUCUCUUCUUUAUUAUAUUUGCCUUUGCGAUCUAUUUUCCUUUGCUUUUAUUUUCAGAUCUAUUAAACCAAAAAUACUUAAAUACCUUACUGCAAUUUAUUUUAUUUGGCGUUCGAUCUAUCAAUAUUUACAACUCUCUCACGUCCGUUUGCCAAUUUCUGGCGCCGUUGCCCGAAAGGAAUUGACAACCCCUUUAACACGUCGGGUUGCGAGUAUUUGUUAUUUGUGUGCAGGUGCUGUUCACGUAGUGUUGCGUGGUUCUCCUACUGGUUCGAUAACCUUUGUCUCAUCACUGAGGGAAAUACCUACCGUCGUUGUGCUGCAUCAUCCCUUCCUCUUUGGGGAAAUACCGACGUAGUUCUAGCAGACAUCAUCAUGCUAGUAAGUAAUUGUGAAUUUGAGAAAUACUUGUGUUAAAGUUUGUGAUUCUGUAGCAUGCACGUAUGGUGAACCGUUAUGUGAUGAAGUCGGAGCAUGAUUUAUUUAUUGAUUGUCUUCCUUAUGAGUGGCGGUCGGGGCCAAGCGAUGGUCUUUUCCUACCAAUCUAUCCCCUUACGAGCAUGCGCGUAGUACUUUGUUUUGAUAACUAAUAGAUUUUUGCAAUAAGUAUAUGAGUUCUCUAUGACUAAUGUUGAGUCCAUGGAUUAUACGCACUCUCACCCUUCCACCAUUGCUAGCCUCUCUAGUGCCGCGCAACUUUCGCCGGUACCAUAAACCCACCAUAUACCUUCCUCAAAACAGCCACCGUACCUACCUAUUAUGGAAUUUCCAUAGUGAUUCCGAGAUAUAUUGCCAUGCAACUUUCCACCAUUCCAUUUAUUAUGACACACUCCAUCAUUGUUAUAUUUCUUUGCAUGAUUAUGUAGUUGACACUGUAUUUGUGGCAAAGCCACCGUUCAUAAUUCUUUCAUACAUGUCACUCUUGAUUCAUUGCACAUCCUGGUACACCGCCGGAGGCAUUCAUAUAGAGUCAUAUUUUGUUCUAAGUAUCGAGUUGUAAUUCUUGAGUUGUAAGUAAAUAAAAGUGUGAUGAUCUUCAUUACUAGAGCAUUGUCCCAUGUGAGGAAAGGAUGAUGGAGACUAUGAUUCCCCCACAAGUCGGGAUGAGACUCCGGACAAAAAAAAGAGGCCAAAAAAAAGAGAAGGCCCAAAUAAUAAAAAAAUGAGAGAAAAGAGAGAAGGGGCAAUUGUUACUAUCCUUUUACCACACAUGUGCUUCAAAGUAGCACCAUGAUCUUCAUGAUAGAGAGUCUCCUAUAUUGUCACUUUCAUAUACUAGUGGGAAUUUUUCAUUGUAGAACUUGGCUUGUAUAUUCCAAUGAUGGGCUUCCUCAAAUUUCCCUAGGUCUUCGUGAGCAAGCGAGUUGGAUGCACACCCACUUAGUUUCUUUUUGAGCUUUCAUAAACUUAUAGCUCUAGUGCAUCCGUUGCAUGGCAAUCCCUACUCACUCACAUUGAUAUCUAUUGAUGGGUGUCGGUGUCAAAACCGGUAGAUCUCGGGUAGGGGGUCCUGAACUGUGCGUCUGAGGAUCGAAGGUAACAUGAGACAGGGGACACGAUGUUUACCCAGGUUUGGGCCCUCUUAAUGGAGGUAAUACCCUACUUCCUGCUUGAUUGACUUUGAUGAGUAUAGGGGUUACAAGAGUUGAUCUACCUCAAGAUCGUAAUGGCUAAACCCUAGAUGUCUAGCCUGUAUGAUUAUGAUUGCUUCUACGGACUAAACCCUCCGGUUUAUAUAGACACCGGAGGGGCCUAGGGUUGUACAGAGUCAGUUUACAGAGAAAGGAAACUUCAUAUCCGAAUGCCAGGCUUGCCAUCCACGCAAAGGAGAGUCCUAUCCGGACAUGGGGAAAGGCCUUCCAUCUUGUAUCUUCACGACCCAUUAGUCCGGCCCAUGUCACAUAACCCGGACGCCCGGGGACCCCCUAAUCCAGGACUCCCUCAGUAGCCCCUGAACCAGGUUUCAAUGACGAUGUGUCCGGUGCGCAGAUUGUCUUCGGCAUUGCAAGGCGGGUUCCUCCUCCGAAUACUCCAAAGUAGUCUUCUGAACAAGAGAACCGAAUCCGGCUCUGUGUAAUAGUCACAACCCUGAACCGCGAGAGUAAAAUACUUAAAACGUAAUUAGUCACGUCCACUGACAACCUUUCAGGGGAGACGUUAUGCCCGGCCUUAUCAUUAUUUCAAACCAUUUUUAGCCUCCUGUUUCACGUUUCGAGGCGUGGUCAUUGAUACGUCUUGUCAAAGCAGAGAUCGUGUCCCCUUAUUACGGGAUUCUCAUCAAUACGGGUUUGGGUAAUCCAACCGUGCCGUUUGCACGACCCUUGGGAAUAGGCGAGUUUUAAGGCUCGUGAGGGGGUGCCUGAUAUCCACUGCCUUUAUAAGAGGAUAAUGAUCCAUAUUUCUACCCCACGCCUUCUUCUUCCUUAGCCCAUCCGCCUUCGAGCUCCAGCGCCCAAGUCUCAAUCCUUUCCAUCUUUACCAAACGCUCCAGCCAUAUCUGGAUUUGGAGCGCAAGGCAAGUGGAUGGCUUCCUCCGUCACGGAGGAGAACGUCAAGGAACUCCGGGAAGCGGGGUACUUGGCCACAGAUAUAGCCCACCGGCUCCCAGCUAAAAAGCAGAUCAUUCCCACCCCGGAGCCUAAUGAGAGGGUAGUGUUCAUCCCCCAUUUCCUUCGCGGACUAGGGUUUCCCCUCCAUCCUUUCGCCCAUGGCCUCAUGUUUUAUUACGGGCUAGAUUUCCACGAUCUCGCCCCAAAUUCCUUUCUCCAUAUUUCAGCAUUCAUUGUCGUGUGCGAGGCGUUCCUCCGCAUCCCCCCACUUCGGCCUAUGGCUCAAGGUCUUUAAUGUGAAGCCGAAAGUGGUCGACGGGCAACACGCAGACUGCGGCGGCGCCAUGGUGAGCAAGCUCCCCAACGUCACUUGGCCCAAGGGGGCCUUUGUGGAGACCGUGAGGGAUGGAAACAAGAGCGGUUUUACAUCACGGAACCUCGCGACACCACAUGGGCCGCCGCUCCCAAGUUUAAAUCCGGGCCACCAAUGCGGCUUGCCUCGUGGAUCAACAAGGGCCUGGAUUGGGCGUCAUCCGACGAGGUGACGAUGCUGCAGAAGCGCAUCAAGAAUAUAAUAGAGAAGAACACCACUCUUGCCGAUGUGGUCCAGGUGAUGCUCUUUCGCCGGAUUCUCCCCUGCCAGCGCCGGCCUCUCCAUAUGUGGGAGUUCGAUCCGGCUGGCCCCUGGACCCUGCAGCGAUUCUUCAGCACGACGCAUGAAGAUAUCUGGAAGCUGCUCUUUAAGGCCCAGAAGUCGUGGCCGGAGACGACCGAUGACAUCGGCUACGACUGUACUUAUCUGGCCACUCCCGUAAGUUUUCCGUUUUUCGAACAUAACUUCCACUUGUAAAUCUGAGGGGUAUGUUGAGCCUUCCACUCUUCCUUCAGGGCUGGACAAAGAAGGCGGAGCGGAUCAAAUGUCUGGCUCCGCUACCCGAAGACCCAGCCAUUCCUCUACUAACGAGGAUGCUGGUUCCGGCGCCGUACCAUACGCCGGAGAAGAAGGCCAAGAAGAAGGGCAAGGAGGCCAAAAGUGGCCUCCGCCGCAGAGGUACUUCAGACGCUGCGUCCGAAGAUAUCGAAGUUCUCUCCUCUCAUGAGGGAGAUGAAGACGAAGAGGAGGAGGAAGAGAGCAAUUCUCUCCACAAGGAGAAGAAGAAAAGGGCGGCCUCCGCUGAUCUGGAGGCGAAGGCACCCAAAAAGGGGAGGAUAUCCCUCUCGGACGGCUCGGACACAGAUGCAGAGGACAUCCCCGAGUGGCGCCCCAGGACGAAGCCCCUGGCCGAAUCGUAAGUAUUCAAAGAUACCAUACAUAUAUCUGGCUGGUUAUAAUUUGUAGGAUAACAUAUCAUUUAUGCGUUUUAGUCCGGCCCGUGAUCUCCCCCAACAAUCAUCGUCUUCGGGGAAUUCUUUGGCGCCGGAGAUGAUGGAGAGCGAAACGCCCCCACGUGCCUCUCUGCCACAUGCUGCGGACGACACCGAAGUGUCGUCCCAAAGAACCUCUCUGGGCCAGGGAGAGGUGCGGAAGGCCGCUGAAACGGCGCCAGAGGAGAACAUGGGGGGCGCAAUCCCCACGAAGACUGAUGGCGGGGGCCCUGACCAGUCCGGCCCCCAGUCGAAUACCACUCCGGAGACCCACAGGGCUCCGGACCCGACCGAGCAGCCCCCUUCGAAAGAGGAGGGAGUGCCGACUUCACCGGCGACCUCCAUCAAUCCGGAGGCGCCAGACACUUUGAGGGAAGCACUUCGCCAUGCUUCCGUCGUGGAUGAACAUCGUGCCCUGAUGAGUAUGGUGGUUGAAAAGGUCCAGUCCACAAAAAGCGGGCUGAACGAAGCCUUCACCAGCCUGUUAACAGGCUUUGAGGUAUGUGAUGCAAUAUUCUUUAGCCGUGUUUUCAUAUGAAGAAAUAUGCUUGUAUAUAGAUAGUAGCCCCGAGACUUUGUUCGGUUCUUGAAAAGGGCCGAAGAGAGGAUCAAAUAUUCACUGGAGAUAAUAUACUUGUCUAUUUUUGAUAAACAGGCUUCCUUGUUAGCGGCUUCAGCCAAGGACGCUGAAGUUUUCGAACUCCAGCGGAAACUGAAGCUGGCUGAUGAUGAGAUCGACCGUAUUAGCAAGCGGUUUGAUGAGGCCCAAGGUAUGAUUUUUUUUAAAAGACCCCUUACAAGCCUGAAUUGUAAUGCAAACUUAGAGUUUAAGCUCAUGUGCUGCUAUGUGUGUGUGUGUCUGCAGGUGGCGCUACCGAGGUCGAGGCCCUCAAGAGUGCCCUUGCCGAAGCCAAGGAGGAGGCAAGGGCGAGCAAAGCAGCCGUAGACAAAGUGGCUGCAGACUUAACAGCCGAACAGGACGCCCGCCGACGGUAUGAGGAGAGGGUGUCCGAAGUGGAGCAGGCGCUCCAGGAUGCUGCCAACAAGUGUGAGGCCUUGGAAGAGAGUAAUAAGGCCCAAGCGACCAAACUUACCAAGGCCCUUCCGGAGGCAAAGGAUGCGCGGACCGAGUCCCGGGCGGCUCGCGAGGAGAUCAAGCAAGCUGAACAGAUAGUGGCUGGUAAGCCUUUUCUUUUACAGAGUAUAUU
rnacentral:lncRNA from 1 species